UACGAAGGGUGCAAGCGUUACUCGGAAUUACUGGGCGUAAAGCGUGCGUAGGUGGUUAGUUAAGUCUGAUGUGAAAUCCCCGGGCUCAACCUGGGAAUGGCAUUGGAUACUGGCAGGCUAGAGUGCGGUAGAGGGUGGUGGAAUUCCCGGUGUAGCAGUGAAAUGCGUAGAGAUCGGGAGGAACAUCUGUGGCGAAGGCGGCCACCUGGACCAGCACUAACACUGAGGCACGAAAGCGUGGGGAGCAAACAGG
rnacentral:rRNA from 1 species